GCGAGGCGUCUGCUCCUCUCGACAGAUGUCGGCAGCCAUCAGGCCACCACUCAGGCCCGAGUCGAUGGCAAUGAGUCCGAUAAGAUCUACUAUGCCCAUGGCAAGCGAAUCGAUGUGAUAGACCUUAAAGGAAAGAACAAGAAAACCCUUGUUUCCGGUGAACAACAAUGCCGCCUUGGGGGGAUUUGUGUACUGGCUGGAUGACAAGACCGGAAUGGAGCGGAUCACUGUCAACGGAGAACGUCGUUCUGCGGAGCUGCAGCGUCUGUCGCAGUUCACCGACAUCAGUGCCGUGUGGACAUCGGGUGCGAAAGUGCUGCGCAAUCACAAUUGUCUUCACAGUCGCACAAAGUGUUCCCACAUCUGCAUAGCCAGCGGGGCACGCAGCGGGACACGCAGUACUCACGACGUCUGCUCGUGCCCCAAGCAUCUGAUGCUACUGGAGGACAAGGAGAACUACAGCGUGUGUCCGGCCAGAUAAUUUUAAGUGGCGGGAGUAGUGACAUGAACAACGAUUGUAUAUCCGUCUUCUGGCGCUGUGACGAAAGGAUCGCCCGGCGGAUUAGUUCAGCUGACAGCCGAGGGCAGCGACAAGGCUCUGGUCUGCGAUGGUACCACCUGUGAAAACUGUCGCAAUGUCCACGUUGAGGCCGACUGCUGCAAGCGGCCAGGAGAGUUUCAGUGUCCCAUUAACAAGCUUUGCAUAUCGGCCGCCCUGCUCUCCGAUUGCUGGGACUCGAAGAGUUAAGGAAUAUAUUAGUUUUGUGGUGGAUAACUAAUAUACAUACAUUAUUCAUCUGCAACAAACUAUUGUAUCCAGACUCAUGUGGUAUCACCAAUUCUGGAGAUGGUACCCUGGAAUCAUGUCUGACAUCCUGUGAAAGGCAAGUGUGGUGCAUCUCAAAUGUUCUAGGACUGUGGUCUCUCUUCUCAAAUAUCCUGCAUGUUCUUUCCUUGGCACGUGGCAAAAGAAGUCUAACAUGCCUGACGCCCAUUCCCUCGAAGCGUGAAUUUUCCUGUAAACGAAGACCUUGCUGUAUAUACGUUCGGUUGUCCAGUUGAACGUGAUAAGUCCCCUAACACUUAUUAAAGUCGAUUUAUCCUUGCA